rnacentral:rRNA from 1 species
GACGUAGGGGGCGAGCGUUGUCCGGAUUUAUUGGGCGUAAAGCGUGCGUAGGCGGCUGCGCAAGUCGGGUGUGAAACCCCCGGGGCUCAACCCCGGAACUGCAUCCGAUACUGCGUGGCUAGAGGUAGGUAGGGGAGAUCGGAAUUCCUGGUGUAGCGGUGAAAUGCGCAGAUAUCAGGAGGAACACCGGUGGCGAAGGCGGGAUCUCUGGGCCUAGCU